rnacentral:rRNA from 1 species
UACGGAAGGCACCAGUGGGGAAUAUUGCACAAUGGGCGAAAGCCUGAUGCAGCUAUGCCGCGUGUAUGAAGAAGGCCUUAGGGUUGUAAAGUACUUUCAUCGGGGAGGAAAAAACAAAACUAAUAAUUUUAUUUCUUGACGUUACCCGAAAAAGAAGCACCGGCUAACUCCGUGCCAGCAGCCGCGGUAAUACGGAGGGUGCUAGCGUUAAUCAGAAUUACUGGGCGUAAAGAGCACGUAGGUGGUUUUUUUAAAGUCAGAUGUGAAAUCCCUGGGCUUAACCUAGGAACUGCAUUUUGAAACUGAAAUACUAGAGUAUCGUAGAGGGAGGUAGAAUUCUAGGUGUAGCGGUGAAAUGCGUAGAUAUCUGGAGGAAUACCUGUGGCGAAAGCGGCCUCCUAAACGAAUACUGACACUGAGGGUGCGAAAGCGUGGGGAGCAAACAGGGAUUAGAUACC